rnacentral:rRNA from 1 species
UGGGGAAUCUUGCGCAAUGGGCGAAAGCCUGACGCAGCAACGCCGCGUGAGCGAAGAAGGCCUUCGGGUUGUAAAGCUCUGUCAGGGGGAAAGAAGGCACCUGGGUUAAUAGCCCAAGGGCUGACGGUACCCCCAAAGGAAGCCACGGCUAACUACGUGCCAGCAGCCGCGGUAAUACGUAGGUGGCGAGCGUUGUCCGGAAUCAUUGGGCGUAAAGAGCGCGUAGGUGGCUUGUCAGGUCCGAUGUGAAAACCUGGGGCUCAACUCCAGGCCUGCAUCGGAAACCGGCUUGCUAGAGUCUGGGAGAGGAGUGGAAUUCCUGGUGUAGCGGUGAAAUGCGUAGAUAUCAGGAGGAACACCGGUAGCGAAGGCGGCUCUCUGGAACAGUACUGACGCUGAGGCGCGAAAGCUAGGGGAGCGAACAG